rnacentral:rRNA from 1 species
AUUGAACGCUGGCGGCAUGCUUUACACAUGCAAGUCGAACGGCAGCACGGACUUCGGUCUGGUGGCGAGUGGCGAACGGGUGAGUAAUACAUCGGAACGUACCCAGUAAUGGGGGAUAACUAUCCGAAAGGAUAGCUAAUACCGCAUACGCCCUACGGGGGAAAGAGGGGGAUCGCAAGACCUCUUGUUAUUGGAGCGGCCGAUGGCUGAUUAGCUAGUUGGUGGGGUAAAGGCCUACCAAGGCAACGAUCAGUAGCGGGUCUUAGAGGACGAGCCGCCACACUGGAACUGGGACACGGUCCAGACUCCUACGGGAGGCAGCAGUGGGGAAUCUUGGACAAUGGGCGCAAGCCUGAUCCAGCAAUGCCGCGUGCGUGAAGAAGGCCUUCGGGUUGUAAAGCGCUUUUGUCAGGGAGCAAAUCCUUGUGGCUAAUACCCACCGGGGAUGAGAGUACCUGAAGAAUAAGGACCGGCUAACUACGUGCCAGCAGCCGCCGUAAUAC